rfam:TPA: Bos taurus chromosome X, whole genome shotgun sequence.
UCCCUCAUGGUUCAGUGGUUAAGACUCCUUGCUCCCAAUGCAGGGGGCCUAGGUUUGAUCCCUGGUCAGGGAA